rnacentral:rRNA from 1 species
UGGGGAAUUUUGGACAAUGGGCGAAAGCCUGAUCCAGCAAUGCCGCGUGUGUGAAGAAGGCCUUCGGGUUGUAAAGCACUUUUGUCCGGAAAGAAAUCCUUGACUCUAAUACAGUCGGGGGAUGACGGUACCGGAAGAAUAAGCACCGGCUAACUACGUGCCAGCAGCCGCGGUAAUACGUAGGGUGCAAGCGUUAAUCGGAAUUACUGGGCGUAAAGCGUGCGCAGGCGGUUUGCUAAGACCGAUGUGAAAUCCCCGGGCUCAACCUGGGAACUGCAUUGGUGACUGGCAGGCUAGAGUAUGGCAGAGGGGGGUAGAAUUCCACGUGUAGCAGUGAAAUGCGUAGAGAUGUGGAGGAAUACCGAUGGCGAAGGCAGCCCCCUGGGCCAAUACUGACGCUCAUGCACGAAAGCGUGGGGAGCAAACAGGAUUAGAUACCCUGGUAGUCCACGCCCUAAACGAUGUCAACUAGUUGUUGGGGAUUCAUUUCCUUAGUAACGUAGCUAACGCGUGAAGUUGACCGCCUGGGGAGUACGGUCGCAAGAUUAAAACUUAAAGGAAUUGACGGGGUCAUAGCUGUUUCCU